GACUUUCAUUCAAGUUAAUUUGUGGAUUUAUCACAGUAUUCAGUACCUGGGCACACUUCAGGGUGGUCUCAGGUACAGAUCUGGGUGGCCUGAGGCACUGAUCCGGGUAGCCUCAGGCUCCAAAUCAGGGGGACCCAAGGCACGAUAUCAGGGCCUGACUAAAAUACCUGAUCAGGGCACAAUCCAAACGCCUGAUUGGGGCCCGAUUUGAAUGCCUAAUCAGGGCCGGACGUUAGCA
rnacentral:misc_RNA from 1 species